ensembl:lncRNA
GUUUCAUGUAACCUUUAGCCAGUGAACCCGAAGUUACCUGGUCAGCACUGGUUAGGAGGUCCACCUGGCCUGGAACAAUGCAUUCAUUCUCUGUUAAUCAUUUCACUUCUCUGCCUUUACAGACCUUCCCUUUUCUGCAGCAUUUUGGAGCUCCUCUGUAUUUGUUAGAUUGGAUGCUGCCCGAAUCAUGAAUUAAUAAGGCCAAUUAGACCUUCAAACUUACUUGGUUGCAUUUUUAUUGUUUAACAGAUUCGGUGGCAGUGGUGGGACCGAAGGUGGCUUCCGAUGGCUUCAGGAACAACCAGAAACAUAGGUACUACAGACAGAGAUCCAGGCGGGAGAGCUGAUUCUGGUCCAAAGUCUCACUUUAGCUGGCUUCUGCCAGUUUCCCCAGGACCCCAUCUGCAGGCUCUGAAUGGGGUUUAAAGAAGAAGAUGUAACUCUGCUAUUGACUAGAAUUUGGCAAGGUAUUUCCUUAAUGUUCAUUUUACUUUUCCUUGGCUCCAGAAGAAUCCCCGAGUCCUGUCAACUCUGAGAGGUACCCACACAGGGGCCCUCCUUUGGGGAUAGAUGUAGGGAUAGAUGUCCGUUAGGCCACGAACUGGGUGGAUUUCUCUUUACAGUCUCAUAGAGGCAAUUCAGACCAAGGAUUACUAGAGCUGAGUAUUCAAAAAAAGGAGGGUGAAGGGGAGCAGGAGGAGGGAUGUCAGGCUUAGGGUCUUUUUGUUUUAGGUACCUCUUAUAUCUUCAGUUUCUCAUUAGCCUUUGCAACAAAUCUUCCAAUGAAGCUACUUAGGAAUUUCGAAGCCCUUUGGAGGCUUCUGCAUGCCAAUUAAAAUAGUUAUCCCAUUCUGUCUGUUGAUUUGGGACCCCUUGCUUUCAAGUGCACCUCCUAAAUGAUCUUGUCUGAUUGGAUCAUUGCUCGUAGUAGCUGUUGUAAUUUUCCCUGAGGGCUAGCAGCAGUUUGGUGGGACCCUUAGCCACAAACAGAGUUCACCCCAUGUUUCUGUCUAGUCCUAUCUGCCUGUAAAGGGAGUGCAACCCACAUUUCUGUCCAGCCACAUUUUGCCCCCCCCCACUCUGACAGUUGCCAAGCCAAGUUCUCGGGACACAAAAUUCUAGGCUUUCUUUAGUCAGAUUGUGGCCAUUUCUGUCGAUCUUUAUAGCUUCUGGGAGCAUAGUUCUUAAGCAGGUGUGCUGGAAAGGGGCAUCCUGAACUCUUUAGAAUUUUCAGGAUCCCAUUUCUCUGACUAAGCCUUUGGGUCUCUGGGAGCCAAACUGAUCCCCAAGAGGGAUGUGCUGUGGGGUCGGAGACUGCAUGGUGUUUUACAACAUAUCUCGUUGCACGGAAAUUUUCUCGAGGUCGGUGGGUGACCUAGUAUUAAUCUAACCGACUCCAGCAAACAGUGCUAUUGCCCCUGUAGCCAGGAUCGGAGGACCCAGGACUCAAGGGGUAGAAAUAGGGGCACCAGUCGGUAUUAUCCCUAGAGACCCAGAGCAAAACGUUUGCUUCCGGUUCCCACAACCUCAUGUUCUCCUGGCCCGGUGGUCUUGAGUUCCACAGUGUGGAACGCUUCCGCCUGGAGACGCAGCAAUAAUUACACUGAACCGGAAGUUAGGAUGGUCACUUUGGACUCCUCGUGCCUCUGAAUUGACAGGCAAAGCCAGGAGUUACUGUGCUGGCUGAGGUGAUUGAUCCCGAGUACCACCUAGGGGAAAGUAGACAGCUACUCCGCAGUGGAAUACAGGAGACCCCUUUGGAUGUCUGUAGUAUCACCACGCCCUGUGAUUAAGGUCAAGGUCAAUGGAAAAGUGCAACCACCCAGUCCAGGCAGGACCACUAAUGGCUUAUAGUGUUUAUGUUGCAGGAUAUCAAGGAGAAGCAUAAACAUCACUCAAAAACAUUACCUCCUUCUUGGGGAAGGGGUUAGUUUUUGGUUAUAUGCAGGAUAGUUGUAUCACGUUAAUUGAAGUAUGACCUUGUUAUUACCUUUAUAUGAAGCUUAAAUGUGGCUUAAGGAGACGCAUAUGGGUGCCAAGUAGACGAGGGGUGAUGUGAUGUUUAAUUUUAUAUAUCAACUUGACAAGGGCCCAGGGUGCCCAGGUAUCUGAUCAAACAUAAUUUUGGCUAUGUCUGUGAAAGUGUUUCCAGAGGAGAUUCACAUUUGAGUUGGCAGACUGAAUAAAGCAGAUUGCCGCCCAUAACAUAGGUGGGCCUCAUCCAAUCAGUGGAAGGCCUAGACAGAACAAAAGGCCUACCCUCCCAGGAAGGAACUUCUGACUUCCUGGAGUUGGGUCUUCUUCUGCUGUUGAACUCGAACUGAAACAUCAGCUCUUUUUGGAUCUCAAGCCUCCUAGCCUUCUGUCUGGAACUUACACCAUGGGCUCUCCUGGUUCUGAGUCCUCAGACUGAAACUACAUGUCUGUCUAUCUAUCUAUCUAUCUAUCUAUCUAUCUAUCUAUCUAUCUAUCUAUCUAUCUAUCAUCGGUCCCUAUUCUGUUUCUCUGGACGCUGAAUACAGUAGCUAAUCACAUCUGUAAAUGAUGAGAUUGCAUAUCUUUAGUUCAAUCAUACUUAUUUUUUUCUUGCACUCUCAUUCUGAGUUUAAAGGAAAUAAAUACCUGAAAUGACUUCAUCAGCAAGUAUAAUAUUUUCUGUAUGCUUUUGGUAGCUAACUUCAUCAGACUAAAGAAGAUCCCUAGAUUACCGAGUUUUUAAAAUCAUGAAUGAAUAUUAGAUGUUAUCAAAUGCUUUCCCUGCAUCCAUUUAGAUAAUCAUGUUUUUUUCCCUUUAAUCUGCUAAUGCAGUGGAUUACGUUAAUAAAUUUUAAGUCAUUAAUCUGCUAAAGUGCAUUUCUGGGACAAACCAGGCUUACUUAUGAGGUUUUUAAGUAUUUCAGGUUGCAAAUGUUUUGACUAGGAUUUUGGUCUCUAUGUUCCUUAGUUUGGCUGAAAAUUUUAUUUCUUGUUCUCGCUGUGUUUUGGCUUCAUAAAAUGAAUGACAAAAUAUUUUCUUUUUUCUACUCUGAAAAUGUUUUUGUGAAGAAAUGUGUUCCGCAAUAAUGCUUCUGUAUUGUGGAUUACUGUGGUGUUAUAUGGAAGGUUUCUUGGUUCGUAUGCAAUUUUUCCCCAGAACAUUCAUAUUUUACACUUCAGGCAAGAGGGUCUAAAUGCAAGCAGACCAGCACAGCUGAGAGCAGUCCGACUAGGGAGAACAGGACUCUUCCUGACACCACUGUCUCUCGUAGCUCAGUGUGGCCAUCUGCUUUCAGUCUGAAACACUUUUGUGUGGUCUUCAUAGCUCAGUGACACAAAAUUUCCAUCAUAUUCCCUUUUUCCAAGGUCCUUUUACCUUUCUUAAUAAGUGAAGUGCGCGCUCUCUCUCUCGUGUGUGUACUUAGAUAUCUAAUAACUUACAACAUCUUUUAAACUAGGCAAUUCGUUUUUAUUAGGAUUGUGGUUUUGGGGGUGCCUGGGUGUUUCAGUCGGUUAAGCAUUUGCCUUUGGCUCAGGUCAUGAUUUCUGGGUCCUAGGAUCAAGCCCCCAGUCGGGCUUCCUGCUCAGCAGGGAGUCUGCUUCUCUCUCACUCUCUCUCCCUCUGCCCCUCCACACCACUCGUUCUCCCUGUCAAAUAAAUAAAUAAAAUCUUUUAAAAUAAAGGAUGAUGGUAGGACACCUGGGUGGCUCAGUCGGUUAAGCACCUGGCUUCUGCUCGGGUCAUGAUCCCAGGGUACUGGGCUGGAGUUCCACGCAUCAGGCUCCUUGCUCAGUGGGGAGCCUGCUUCUCCCUCUUCCUGCCUCUCCCCCUGCUUGUGCUCGCUCUCUCUCUGACAAAUAAAUAAAAUCUUUUAAAAAAAAAAAAGGAUGGUGGUUUUUGUUAGUGGUCUGGUUCUAAACAUGCUUAUGGUUUGAGUGGUCUGUUCCAAUCCCAUUCUUCCCAUAAUAACUCAUUAUCUUUUGUUGGCAUUUUUACGUGACACCGAAGUUAUCAGGAAUACUUACACUGUGUUCCAGCAGAAACACCUGCCGGCAUUCCUUGGUUCAUUUGUGCCACCUGACUGUAUCUGGAAUCACCCAUGGCUCUUCCCUCUGCCUGGGAGGUGACAACAUUGCUCUGUCACACCCUUCAUCCAGGUCCAGGUCUCUGCCCACAUAUGACCUAGAGGACAUCUACGCAUCCAUCUGAAUGGCCACGUGCAAAGGGAUGCAGUUGGACCCCUACCCACACAUCAUAUACAAAAAUUCACUCCACGUGGAUCAAAGUCCUAAAUGUGAGAACUAAAACUAUCAAAAUCUUACAAUAGAACGUAGGUGUAAGUCAUCAUGUCUCAAAUUUGCCUACGGAUUCUUAGGACACCAGAAACAUGAGGA